GGGGAUUCCAUGUUUUGCUCAAAUAUGUGCCUGGUAUCAGUUUCAGAACUGAUAACGAACCUUUCAAGUAGGAAAUGCAGAACUUCACCCAGAAGAUCGUUGGAAUGAUGAAAUCAGAAAAUAUAUUCCAAUGGCAGGGUGACACUAUUAUCGUAUCUCAGAUUGAGAAUGAAUUUAGGCAUCUAGAACGGGAUCAUGAGGCUCCAGCAAAGGCUUAUGCAGGUUGGGCAGCU